CCUACGGGAGGCAGCAGUGGGGAAUUUUGGACAAUGGGCGCAAGCCUGAUCCAGCAAUGCCGCGUGAGUGAAGAAGGCCUUCGGGUUGUAAAGCUCUUUUGUCAGGGAAGAAACGGUGGGGCUAAUAUCCUCCACUAAUGACGGUACCUGAAGAAUAAGCACCGGCUAACUACGUGCCAGCAGCCGCGGUAAUACGUAGGGUGCAAGCGUUAAUCGGAAUUACUGGGCGUAAAGCGUGCGCAGGUGGUUUUGUAAGUUUGUCGUGAAAUCCCCGGGCUCAACCUGGGAAUGGCGAUGAAGACUGCAAGGCUAGAAUCUGGCAGAGGGGGGUAGAAUUCCACGUGUAGCAGUGAAAUGCGUAGAGAUGUGGAGGAACACCGAUGGCGAAGGCAGCCCCCUGGGUCAAGAUUGACGCUCAUGCACGAAAGCGUGGGGAGCAAACAGGAUUAGAUACCCUGGUAGUCCACGCCCUAAACGAUGUCUACUAGUUGUCGGGUUUUAAUAACUUGGUAACGCAGCUAACGCGUGAAGUAGACCGCCUGGGGAAUCGGUGCAAGNUUAAACUUAAGGAAUUGACGG
rnacentral:rRNA from 1 species